rnacentral:rRNA from 1 species
GGUUGCGAUCAUACCAGCACUAAUGCACCGGAUCCCAUCAGAACUCCGCAGUUAAGCGUGCUUGGGCGAGAGUAGUACUAGGAUGGGUGACCCCCUGGGAAGUCCUCGUGUUGCAACAC